AAAAAAUUAGAUGUGGAACAACUAGCAAAUUAUGUUUGUAGUUGGCCUGGUAUCGAAUAUAAUGUUUCAACAUGCAAAACGGGAAUUGUCCGGUUAUCUUGUUCCCCUCUUCAUGUCCAAAUGGCAAGACGAAAGACCACAUUUGCCAUUUUUAAAGGACAAUGAAUGUGAAGAUAACAUGCCUGCUGGUGUAUUGGAAUUCAUCAAUUGUAUCAGGAAAAUCCAAAGUAAAACUGG